rnacentral:lncRNA from 1 species
UUUAAAUAUAGAGAUCUUGGAAUUCUAAAUUUUUUUCUUGGAAUAGAAAUAAAUUACAACAAUGAUGGCAGCAUAUAUAUGAAUCAAUAUAGGUAUGCCCUCAACAUACUAACAAAAUAUAACGUGAUGAACUGUAAACCUUGCAAUUCACCAGUAAUACCAAAUUCAAAAUUCAAGAGAAAUGAUGGUGAACUAGUCAAAGAUAUUACAAACUAUAGAGCCUUAGUUUGAUCUUUGCAAUAUUUAACUCAAACAAGACCAGAUCUGGUUUACGUAAUAAAUCAAGUUGCUCAGUUUGUUCAUGAGCCUAUAACAGGAUACUUAGCAGCAGCUAAGAGAAUUCUGAGAUAUAUCAAAGGAACACUUAGUAAUGGGUUACAUUUCAUCAAAAUAUCUAAAAAGAAUAAGAUUUUUGGAUACUGUGAUGCUGAUUUUGCAGGAGGCCCAGACUCCAAAAAAUCAACAACAGGUUUAUGUGUCUUUAUUGAAGGGAAUUUGGUAACAUGGAUAUCUAAGAAACAAGAUACUGUACGUAUCCAGAUCCAGUGCAAAAGCAGAAUAUAAAGCAUUAGCAACUCUAGCUGCAGAAAUUAGAUGGACAACAUUUAUCAGCAGAGACUUAUGUUUUUCCAUACAUCAUAUACCACAAUUAUUUUAUGAUAACAAAUCGACAAUUUUUAUGGCUAAAAAUCCAGUAAUUAAACAAAAAUCAAAACACAUAGAAACGAACAUCUAUUUUAUUAGGAAAUUAAUAUCUAAAAAUCACAUAAAAGUUGAUCAUGUAUGUUCUGAAAAUCAAUUGGCAGAUGUCUUCACUAAGGGAGUGUCACAUAAUACUUAUAUUAAUCUUUGCAGAUUAUUAAAAUUGAAAUUUCAUUUAUGAAGGUAAGUAGGGUUGAUUGUAUAUGUGUUAUAACCUAACUUGUGUAUUUUGUGUGGAUUUUUUUUCCUAGAUGAUUAAAAACUGGACGAAUCACAAGUCAAGAUCUGAAAUUGCAAUACAAAAUAAUUAACAUAAGUAAACUAAUUAAAGAGUGACAGGUUUGGUAUCACCCACUAAAUGGAAUUUAACAAACAGAAAACAAUAUGUAAGUUCUAAAUGGAAAUAAGAAAUUCAGAAAAGAAACUUGAACAACAACAAAUCAAGAAAUAGAAAAUUGAAUGAUAGGACAAUUGAAUUUUAUUGAAACAACAACUAGAUCAAUCUUGAUCGGAAUAAUAUACCUGAAAAUGUGAAACGAAAUACGACGAUUACCAAACAAGAAUGACAACUUAGAACACCGAGAUCUAUUGCAGAAGACCAGAAAAAAGAAAGAAAAAAACUCACAAAUGGAAUUAAUUCUCGUGCCUU